rnacentral:rRNA from 1 species
UACGAAGGGUGCAAGCGUUACUCGGAAUUACUGGGCGUAAAGCGUGCGUAGGCGGUUUGUUAAGUCCGCUGUGAAAGCCCUGGGCUCAACCUGGGAAUUGCAGUGGAUACUGGCAAGCUAGAGUGCGGUAGAGGAUGGUGGAAUUCCCGGUGUAGCGGUGAAAUGCGUAGAGAUCGGGAGGAACACCGGUGGCGAAGGCGGCAUCCUGGACCGAGAUUGACGCUGAUGCGCGAAAGCCAGGGGAGCAAACGGG